AUUGAACGCUGGCGGCAGGCCUAACACAUGCAAGUCGAACGAGUGGCGGACGGGAGAAUAAUGUCAGGAACACUGCCUGAUGGAGGGGGAUAACCACUGGAACCGGUAACUAAUCCCGAAUACCAUCAGAUGUGCCCAGAUGGGAUUAGCUAGGUGGUGGGGUAAAGGCUCACCAAGGCGACGAUCCAUAGCUGGUCUGAGAGGAGGACCAGCCACACUGGACCUGAGAAACGUUCCAGACUCUUACGGGAGGCAGCAGUGGGGAAUAUUGCACAAGGGGCGCAAGCAUGAUGCAGCCAGGCGGGGUGUAUGAAGAAGGACUUAGGGUUGUAAAGUACUUUCAGCGGGGAGGCGUUACCUGCAGAAGAAGCACCGGCUAACUCCGUGCCAGCAGCCGCGGUAAUUC
rnacentral:rRNA from 1 species